rnacentral:misc_RNA from 1 species
CACCGAAGAUCAACAACUUCAAACUUUAAGUUAGCAUUCAUAUAGACGUGAGAGCAGUGCUCAUAAAUUGAGCUCCCAUCUGCAGGCUCCUCAUGGGGAUGAAAACCCCUCUGCUGGCAAUUCCGAAUCACAGAUACACCACCCGGAUCAGACAAAUGAAAUAUACCGUGUGGACUUGAUGUGUCAGUUGGGGCCAUUACAAUUGCAAUUGCUUCAGGUAACAUAAUCUGAUACGAGUAAUGAGUGUGCAGAUCAACAGAUGACAUAAAACAUGUCUGUGAUGGAUGCGUAUGAAUCCACCCAAGAGGAAAAAGUGCCAAUCUGUCUUGAACUUCAAAUAUUUCUUCUUCAUUUAAUGUCUGACACGAAUCUGAAGUUGACUCUUGCUUUGGGAUUAUAAGCGUAGUGAGGUGGAAAACCCUGUUUUUCAGAUAACCGGCAAGAACACCACAUGUUUCUAAAUUUUUCUGUGUAUUUUCACGAGCUAAUCUCAAGAAGUCUUCCAUCAAAUUUACAGGAACAUGUAAAUGUUGAUAUGAGUUUGAGCUAGGAAUCCCAUCCUGGGAAGAUUUUGCUGGUCC